UUCUUUAAACUUAUAAUCUUCUUGUAAGAAGUAGAAACUACUUCCUCUCUAUAAAUUCAAAGGCUUAAAAAAAAACCUCAGAAAGGUGAGAAAUGAUCUACGUGUUUAAGACUAUCCGACCACUAUCUUCAACAACUGUCUCUUUCUUGUCCCCUCGGCGUAGAACGGGCAACAAAGUUACCGGGCUUAGUUUUUUUUGCGACCGCUUCUGACCAGCAAAAGAUGGAUAAGAAGCCUGAAAAUCCAAACGAGGAAACCGGUAUUUGUCUUGUCCACUUUGUAUGUGUAAUAGCGUUUGGAAGUUAUUCUAAUGUUAACCAGCGGGGUUAGCCUAGUGGUACUUGAGGGAGCUUCGGCCCCAAUACGGUCCCGGGUUCAAUUCCCGUUGGCCACCGAGGCUUUCACAUGGGUUCUUCGGCCCGGGCCCGAGGAGAAUACGUGGUCUGAGGUAACUCCUCUAAGCCUACUCCGUGGCUAGUCUGGACCACGUGGGGCCAGGACACUCCUCCUAAAUCUCAAAAAAAAAAGUUAUUCUAAUGUUUUUGCUCCAUUAUCUUUGGAUGAAAAUGGAGCAGGGACGUGAUGUCGCAUUCGUUUGGAGAAGGGUACGCAACGAGGUCUGAUGAAGAAGGGUUUGGAGGAACCUAUGGAGGAAAUCAAACUUUCCAAAAGGACAACAAUGAUAAGGUCCAUGAGAACCACCCUGAUUACGACAAAACUCAAGGUAGCGAAGCCAAGGAGAAGCAGAAAGCUAGGAACCAGACGUAAACGAUUUUCGUUUUACUUUUCUAUUUAAUUUUAUAAUAAAUGAAAUCAAACUUGUACUAUGUAGAUUCUUGCUCAAGCUUUCUAUUGUGUUUUUGGACCCGGUAAUUUUGGUUUUUAUUUUUAUUUUUGUUACCAUCAUCACUGGGUGUAUUUGAAUAUUAGAAAUAAAACGAAUGAUUUUUUAUGGAA